UCCUUGGACUUAACUUGCUUCAUUGCCCCAAAAGAGAUGAGCUUUUGGGCAGAGCAGAGAAAAAUCUUUUCUGUUUCAGGUUCUUCUGGGAAGAACAAAAAGCAAACAUUAUCCAGCAUAAAAGGACCUGAGAACCAAAACCAUACUCACAUGAGCUUUCACUCCCGCUACAAAGCAUCUUGGCUAUGCUCAGCUAAGGCAGCCACAGCUGGAAGACUGGGGAACUUCAAAACUCCUGCUUUAAUCAGAGCCCUUACAAGGAGAAGUCAGCCUGCGAGAAACUUCCGACCAACCGCUCACCUGAUCCUGCUGCAGUGGUCAUGUUCCUCGCCUAACCCGUUAGGAACAAAGCUGUAAGGAGAGCAGAAGGUGUCAAAGUAAAACAGCUGCAUAUCUUCCAAGAAAAGCUCGUGUUUUCCAAAGGAAUUCAAGCGGAGGUGCUUUAUUAAGAGAAC
rnacentral:lncRNA from 1 species